CCCAUCCCCCUUGGGACGGCUGUCACUUGCCCUUGUCCCAGGCUGCCCCCUGCAUCCCGAGGGCUUGGGGGGGACCCGGCCUCCCCGGUGGCAUUGCGGGGCUUGACUUGGGGCCCAGCCACGCUUGUAAAGUUUAUUAUCCACGCAUUUCACCGGCGAAAUUCAUCACCGCGAUCUCCGUCAAGUCUUUGUGCGGGGGGGAAUCCGACAUCAGAGCUUUAAAAAUGUAAGAAAAGCACCAAAGAAUUCCCAGCCCGCUGAACCACAUCCCUGCAGUGCCCGGCCGCUUCCCUGCGGACCCCCCCGUGCCCCCGGAGGGGUGCGGUGGCUGCACCCCCUGCUCCCGACAUCUGCCUCACGGGGAGCAUUAGUGGAGGUGCUUUUUGUUUGUCCAGUGCAAAUGAAUUAAAAUUGCUGAGCUGUUCAAAUGCGCCGAGUCUCCGAGCGCCCAAGAUGAACGCGACGCCGGUUUUGGUUUUAUUUUAAUUCAAUCUCUCCCAACACAUUUUGCUCCACGUUGGUUCUUGCAAAUGCUAAGAAAGCCUGAUCGAAUCCCUUCUUGGCUUUAGCUUGCUGCUGUUCCCGCUUUAAGAAAAACAAGCACUUAAAAGAGAGAAGUUCUGCAGGGUUAAAGCCUGAAACAGCUUCAGACUUGACAUAUGUCUAAAGACAUACAAAUUAACCAGUGCCAAAUAUGUCUGUAGAAAAAGCAGGGAGGGAGCUUGCUUUGUUCUGCCAAAUAAUCAAAAUGUUUUGUUGACAAAUAAAGUGGUGCUUGGCAGCCCUUGUAGAUCUAAAAUUAAAUUUAAGUUAUUGAAUUUUUUUGAAGCCGUAUUCCCAUCCUGCUGUGUAGGACUUUUUUUGUAUACCUCUUUAAUAUCAGUGGGAGGUAGGAGGCGGGGACAGGGUUAGAUGGUACUUUUCUGGUAACAGGAAACUUGCUGGAUUUGAUUUAUUGCUGUGUUUUUAUUUUAUUUUAAAGUAGUUUAGGGAUGAUGGUGAAACGUAGGCACCCAGUUGGGUCUGUUGAGAAGGCAACUUAGUGCUGCUCUGCCUUGGCUGUGGUCAUUUCAACCAUACAAAAUUGGGGAAGAAUAAAGAAACUGAGUGACAGCCCGUGAAACCCUCUUGAAACAUAGGUGUUCUGUGCUUUCAGUGGUUGUACUGGGACAUUGUUCCAUCUCUGUUGUAGGCUGGACAAUAAAAAUAGAAGUGCAAA